GACCGUUUAGCUUAAUGGUAGAGCCCUCGGGUAGUAUGUGAAGUGUGCAGGUUCAAUUCCUGUAGCCGUCA
rnacentral:tRNA from 1 species